CUUUAAAUCAGGCGUGUGUCUAUGGCGUUAUUUUUGUGCCACUAUUCUGAGCACACGUAAAAAAUUGCAGGUGCAAGUGUUGCAUUUUGAGGAGAAAUUUAUUUUGAGCGAAGAAAAGCUAAAUUUGAGUGAACAAAAUUCAUUGCUACCGUGCAAAAAAUGUAUUUCAGUGUUUGUUAUUAUCCAUACAGACCAGGAUAAUUUAGGCCAGAGUGCUCUUCAAAGAACUGACAGACACGACCGCAUUAGAAGAAGAUGGUGUGAGUCCAAUUUGAUGUUCCAGUCAACACUGAGAGACCUUGAGCAGGAAGUCAGAGGUCAGCUGAUGCUGCGAGCACAAAAUGAACCAAGCAAGAAGGAUCGCUCUACUCAAUCUCAAAAGAAAAUCUCCUGAGAGGGAAACGUAUUUUCUGCAUCACUUCCUCACAGUAAAGAUAUUUGUACCGCACUCCUGCAAAGAAGAUUCUACUGACAGGGGAUCGCUAUAAGGCUGUCCAAGCAAAUCCAUGGCUGUAACAGGAGACUGAAGAAGAUUGUAACAGAGUCCAACAGUCUGCAGUGGCCACCACAGUCCACUGUCUUCACAUCACAGGGACAAUUUCAACAUGUCUGUGAAGUCUCCUUGCCCUUGUACUCAUGCCUUGAUGAACAAACAGAAGAAGGUGACGUUCCAUCGAUGCCUUACAUUUGAAGACCAGAGCAGCUGAAGAAAAGCUCUGACUCCAACGUGAGAUGGACACUGUGAUUCAUCAUCUCCACCAGCAACACACUUACCUGCAUUCAUCAAUAGAUGACAGUGAAGACCCUGGUCCCACAGCUGUUCCUGUUCACAGCAUUAUCCAGUUAGAGAGGAAACUGUAUAAUGCAAUGAUGAUGUUCCAGCGUCAUGUUGAAGUUGUUGCUCCUCCUCCACAUGCUCACCUGCCACAGUUUCAUUCAGUGUCUCAGACAGUCAUGUCACCUGAUCUACAUGUUUUGCUGUACGAUGACGUCAUCUUGACGUUGACGAGGAGGGUGAGAAAAACUAGUUGUCCUGCAGAUGGCGAUCUUGCACCAUGUUCAGAGAGCCGACACGUUGAUGAUGCUGGUCUACUCAGCUUACUUUUAGCCUGGGUUGGACUCUAUAUGAGCCAGCUCCCACUCUGGUUUUCACUGUUGAAUACAGUUGUUUGUUUUCACUUGUAAAAGUUGAAAAAUAAAU
ensembl:lncRNA